GAUGAACGCUGGCGGCGUGCCUAAUACAUGCAAGUCGAGCGGACAGACGCGGAUCUUGCUCCUCUGACGUUAGCGGCAGACGGGUGAGUCACACGUGUAUCACCUCCCUAUAAGACUGGGAUCACCUCGAGACACCGGAGCAUAUACCGGAUAAUAUAUUGAACCACGUGGUGCGAUGGUGAGAGACGGUUGUGGUGGCUCUUAUAGCUGGAUCCGCGCUGCAUUAGCUAGUUGGUAAGGUAACGGCCUACCACGGCAAGGAUGCGUAGCCGAGGGGAGGGGGUGGUCGGCCACACGGGAACUGAGACACGGUCCAGACGCCUACGGGAGGCAGCAGUAUGGAAUCUUACGCAAUGGGCGAAAGCCUGACGGAGCAACGCCGCGUGAGUGAUGAAGGUCUUCGGAUCGUAAAACUCUGUUAUUAGGGAAGAACAAAUGUGUAAGUAACUAUGCACGUCUUGACGGUACCUAAUCAGAAAGCCCCGGCUAACUACGUG
rnacentral:rRNA from 1 species